GCGGAGCCAUGGCGCGCAGAGAGGAGCCGCCGGAGCAGGGGACUCUGCGCCGCUGGGAGCGGGAGCAGGCCCAGCUAAAGGCAAAUGUGAUUGAGGAGGACACUGAAGAAUGGCAGAAAGAUUCCACCUUUGCAGGACUGGAGAGAGUGGGAGGGGUAGACCUGUCUUAUGUCAAAGGAAAUGACACAGUCGCCUGCGCUUCCCUGGUGGUUCUCAGCUACCCAGAGCUUGAGGUGCUAUAUGAGGAUUGCCAGAUGGUAACCGUGAGUGCCCCCUACCUGGCAGGAUACUUAGCUUUUCGAGAGGUCCCUUUCCUGGUGGAAGCUACUCAGAGACUUCAGGAGCGAGAGCCUGGGCUCAGGCCUCAGGUGCUGCUCGUAGAUGGGAAUGGCGUGCUCCAUCACAGAGCAGGGUUUGGUGUGGCCUGCCACCUGGGGGUGCUGACAGGCCUGCCCUGUAUUGGUGUGGCCAAAAACCUCCUGCAGGUCGAUGGCCUGGCCAAGGAUGAGCAGCACAAGGGGCAGAUCCGCGACCUGCAGAUGGGAGGAGAUGUAUUCCCUCUGAGGGGCACCUCCGGGAGAGUCCUGGGCAUGGCCCUGCGCAGCUACAAUAAGAGCACAAAGCCCAUCUACGUCUCCGUGGGCCACAGGACGUGCUUGGAUUCGGCGGUGCGCCUCGUCCAGUCCUGCUGUAGGUACCGGAUCCCAGAGCCCAUCCGACAGGAUGACACCCUGGGGCUGCGCAAAGCAUCACUCUUUCCUGCAGUUACAUUUGGAGGGGGCUUUGCUCCCCCAUCGAGGAGGUUCUUAUGGACAGAGGGAGAAGCCAAUUGGACUGCUUUAGGCAUGAAGGAGUGUGGUACACCUUGAAGGGACAGGUUGGAGCCUGUGGCUAAAAGGGAGAGUACAGGAGGUCAUACUGAAAGGUGAACUGUCAGGCUGGAGAAAGGUUAAUAGUGACGUUCCUCAAGGAUCAGUCUUGGGACCAAUCUUGUUUAACAUUUUCAUUCAUGACCUUGGCACAAAAAGUGAGAGUGUGCUAAUAAAAUUUGCAAUAACACAAAGUUGGGAGGAAUUGCCAGUAUGGAGGAGGACCGGAAUAUCAUACAAGAAGAUUUGGAUAACCUUUAAAAUUGGAGUAAUAGAAAUCGGAUGAAAUGUAAUAGUGCAAAGUGCAAGGUCAUGCACUUAGGAACUAACAGCAGGAAUUUUAGCUGUAAGCUGGGAACGGAUCUGCUGGAAGCCACAGAGGAGGAGAAAGACCUGGCUGUAUUGGUCUUGGGGUAGAGUCUGGACUCUAGGAUCUUGUGAGGUGAGAUGGUCCCAGAGCUCAGGCUCUGCGCCCAGAAGUCUGCACUGCAAUUAAACAGCCCUGCGAGCCCAAGUCAGCUGCACGGGCCAGCCGCGGGUGUCUGAUUGCGGUGUAUACGUACGCUGUGAGUCUGAGACAGCCUGGGGGAUAACCAGAGGCCCUGCCCUAGGACUGGGCUAUGGUAACAGGAACCCGACCAAGAGAGAGGGAAGCAGAAGCCGGCAGCUGCAGUGGGUGGCAUUAUUUCACCAAGCAGAGCAGCCUAACCAGAGCCUUUGCCGUGAGGUGAGCCCCUUACACCACAGGUGAGGCUGCUGAACCUUUCGCUGAAAUUCUGGGUCCCACUCCCUCUUCCUCUUUGCCCAAGGUGCAGUCCAGGCUCUGCUUCCAGGUGCCCUGCUGAGGGGGAGCGUGCCAUGUCCCUGCUGCUCCAUGGGCUGGGUGCAAGGGGCAGCUGGGAAAUAAUUCAGGCAGCUCCCCCUUCACCUCAGCCAUUGCCAGGGGUCUGGAUUCACUCUGUAGGUCAGUAUCCACUUCCUGCUUUGCCUCUUGCCACCAUAAGUGGAGACUGGCCUGUCAUGUCCCUGCACCACAUCUGAGGGCAUCAGAGCCAAGGAGGAGAGGGGGCAGAUGCCAGCCGGGUGAGAGUUGGGUAUGGUACGAGCUGUGCAGAAUCUCACGAGGAGGCAUGUUAAUUGUAUUUCUACUGGACAUCCCAGGCUCUUGGGUCUCUUAGAGGCCUCUGGCUGAGACCAGCUGAACUCACCAGAGCUCCUGGACUGUGUGUCGAGAGCUAGAGGGAUUUGAUGGGGAUUUGCUCUUCCAGCUGAGCUGCCUGGCUGUUACCCCUUGACUUUGUUGCCUGUUGCCCCCUGCCCCCAGUGCUUGGGAGAGGCCCAGGGCUGAGCUGGCCCUUGACACUGACUGGUGUGUGCCUGCUGCCCACUCUGUGCCUUGCCGUCUUCCGCUGUGGUAAAUGCAGAGUUGGGGAGCUGGGCUUUAGGAAAUCUCAUUUCUGCUUCCAAAAUCAACCGUGCUGCAGCUAAGGCUGCCUGGGCCGAGACCCUUCUCCUCCAUUUUGGGUCUUUGUCUUCUCGGCCCAUGUGCAGUUGAGGGGUAAGUGGAGUGGGAUAAGGUCAGGGCGGCAGUUGGGUCCCUCGUGUGGGAGCCCUACCUGGGACUGCCGGCCGUAUGCUACAGAUAGCUUGGGGGUGAAGGGGGCUGAGCCUUCAUGCCCCUCUCACUUGGAGAGGAUGAAUGCUGUGCUUAGACUGGGGAUGGACUGCGCACCAGGGCCCUGUGGAGUAACUCCGCCUCCUGCCCUGUGCAGCUGCCUGAGAGCAUCUGCUUCGCACAGUUCUUUAGAGGGCGUGGGCAGUCUGACCAAUCAAGUCUUCAGUCUUCUCUAAUCCGUCUCCUCCCCAAUUGCAGGCUGACAUCAGAUCCAGAGAGUACAUCCGGACGCACCUGUCCUCCCCACUGGGGGGCACAUCUCCUGGGCCAGGGAGGAGGGAAGAGGCUGAGCCCAAG